rnacentral:tRNA from 1 species
UGGAGAGGCUAGCCGAUAGGUGACGGCAGCCCCCUGCUAAGGGGUCGAGGUGAAUAGCCCUUGAGGGUCCGACUCCCUCCCUCUCCGU